rnacentral:rRNA from 1 species
GACUACAUGAAGCUGGAAUCGCUAGUAAUCGCGAAUCAGAAUGUCGCGGUGAAUACGUUCCCGGGUCUUGUACACACCGCCCGUCACACCAUGGGAGUCGGAAAUGCCCGAAGUCAGUGACCCAACCGUAAGGAGGGAGCUGCCGAAGGUGGAGCCGGUAACUGGGUGAAGUCGUAACAAGGUACC